rnacentral:rRNA from 1 species
UAAAACCAGCUCUUAGAGUGGUGGGCAUGAUUAUUUGGCUUAAAGGGUGCGUAGCAGGACAGCGUAAGUCCCCCGUGAAAUGCUAGGUCUUAAGCUUAGCGCGGGCGGGGGAUACUGUGCGUCUUGGGACCGGGAUAGGUGCAAGGUAUGCAUUGGGUAGGGGUGAAAUCCGAUAAUCCAAUGCAGACCACCGGUGGCGAAGGCGUUGCACUAGAACGGGUCCGACUGUGAGGCACGAAAGCUAGGGUCGCGAGCCGGAUUAGAUACCCGGGUAGUCCUAGCUGUAAACGAUGCUCACUAAGUGUUAGGCAAUGCAAGACGUUGUCUAGUGCCGAAGCGAAAGCGUUAAGUGAGCCGCCUGGGAAGUACGUUCGCAAGAAUG